AACGAACGCUGGCGGCAUGCCUAACACAUGCAAGUCGAACGAGACCUUCGGGUCUAGUUGCGCACGGGUGCGUAACGCGUGGGAACCUUCCCUUAGGUUCGGAAUAACUCCCCGAAAGGGGUGCUAAUACCGGAUAAUGUCUUCGGACCAAAGAUUUAUCGCCUUUGGAUGGGCCCGCGUUGGAUUAGCUAGUUGGUAGGGUAAAAGCCUACCAAGGCGACGAUCCAUAGCUGGUCUGAGAGGAUGAUCAGCCACACUGGGACUGAGACACGGCCCAGACUCCUACGGGAGGAAGCAGUGGGGAAUAUUGGACAAUGGGCGAAAGCCUGAUCCAGCAAUGCCGCGUGAGUGAUGAAGGCCUUAGGGUUGUAAAGCUCUUUUACCCGGGAUGAUAAUGACAGUACCGGGAGAAUAAGCUCCGGCUAACUCCGUG
rnacentral:rRNA from 1 species